GACGAACGCUGGCGGCGUGCCUAACACAUGCAAGUCGAACGGAAAGGCCCUGCUUGCAGGGUACUCGAGUGGCGAACGGGUGAGUAACACGUGGGUGAUCUGCCCUGCACUUCGGGAUAAGCUUGGGAAACUGGGUCUAAUACCGGAUAGGAACCAUCUUUAGUGUGGUGGUUGGAAAGUUUUUUCGGUGUAGGAUGAGCUCGCGGCCUAUCAGCUUGUUGGUGGGGUAAUGGCCUACCAAGGCGGCGACGGGUAGCCGGCCUGAGAGGGUGUACGGCCACAUUGGGACUGAGAUACGGCCCAGACUCCUACGGGAGGCAGCAGUGGGGAAUAUUGCACAAGGGGCGCAAGCCUGAUGCAGCGACGCCGCGUGGGGGAUGAAGGCCUUCGGGUUGUAAACUCCUUUCGCUAGGGACGAAGCUUUGUUGUGACGGUACCUAGAUAAGAAGCACCGGCUAACUACGUG
rnacentral:rRNA from 1 species